rnacentral:rRNA from 1 species
AUUGAACGCUGGCGGCAGGCCUAACACAUGCAAGUCGAGCGGACGAAGGGAGCUUGCUCCUGGAUUCAGCGGCGGACGGGUGAGUAAUGCCUAGGAAUCUGCCUGGCAGUGGGGGAUAACGUCCGGAAACGGGCGCUAAUACCGCAUACGUCCAGAGGGAGAAAGUGGGGGAUCUUCGGACCUCACGCUAUCAGAUGAGCCUAGGUCGGAUUAGCUAGUUGGUGGGGUAAAGGCUUACCAAGGCGGCGUUCCGUAACUGGCCUGAGAGGCUGAUCAGUCACACUGAAACUGAGACACGGUCCGAACCCCUACGGGAGGCAGCAGUGGGGAAUAUUGGAAAUUGGGCGAAGGCCUAAGCCAGCCAGGCCGCGUGUGUGAAGAAGGUCUUCGGAUUGUAAAGCACUUUAAGUUGGGAGGAAGGGCAUUAAGUUAAUACCUUGCUGUUUUGACGUUACCAACAGAAUAAGCACCGGCUAACUUCGU